UUUCCAUACCCAAUUUAUUCCCUUUCACCUCCUCCCAUUCUUCCACUCAAGUUCUCAAAAUUUCUCAUUGAAUCAUUCACGAAAAUCACUCUCACUUCUCUUUUAUUCACGAAAAUCACUCUCUCCUCUUCUAAAUACUUCUCAUUAAGCUUUUGAAUGUUUCAUUUUUUUCAUCUUUAUUCAUUUUGAAGCUUAAAGACGUUCUCACGAAAAAGUACAAUGUAUGUUCAUGUAAUUGUCACAACAACAUGUGGUAUUGAAGACAACUAUCAGAAGGAUCAUGAUAAAUUGUAUUUAGAGUAAUGUAUUAAGAAUAUAACAAGUGUAUUAGGAAUUGAUCAUGUACAAAUUGAUGUUUUAUUAACCUUGUUGAUCAUAUGUUGCGUUGUGUUCUAUUCUAUAUGUUGUAACAUUGUGUUGUACUAACAUUUCGC